rnacentral:tRNA from 1 species
GCGGGAGUGCCGGAGUGGCCAAACGGGCUAGGUUGAGGGCCUAGUGGCUUAGUGCCUGCGAGGGUUCGAACCCCUUCUCCCGCA